AAACUUACCUGAUGCGGGGAGUGCCGACGAUCCCGAAGGUCGGCACCUCCGGACUGAGGUCUCCAUUGCUUUUUUUCUUUUUCGGAGACUGAAGUUCGCCUCAUACCUCGCUUUGAGGAUUGACGGAGCAUCGAAUUUUUGGUAGUGGGGAGACCUGGCGUACGCGCCCCCUCCCUC
rnacentral:snRNA from 1 species